AUUAAUUUUUGCUCAUUAUGUCAUGUGACAACGUAGGAUAGAAAUCGAGCGUAUUGGCAACAUAGCAACUGACACAGUUGACAGGCACGAUUCUUGCUACAGCAAGCGUGGGUUCGCCAUUACAAAAAAGGUUCGCGAUUAAACACUUCAAACAAGCAAGUCGAUCUACUUCAUUAUCAAUUCCUAUUUUGAAUCAGCAAUUUAAACAACAAUAAAAGAUUUAUUCAUUAGCAGACUCGAAAAUACAUGGACAAAAUGAGCAAAUAAACAACGGCCUUAAACGGGAAUAUUACGGUUUGACAACAAAAUAAUCCAGCCUUAAGAACAGUUCAGCAUGGAACAGAAUCUUCCAGCACAUAAGGAGAAGACUUCUGGUAGGGAUUUCUACUCCGAUAGGGCACAAGUUUAGCUACCCGGUUCUUCCUUUUGGGGACUCUUUGGAAGAAAGACAAUUUGUGUUUUUUUACUUAAUAAAUGUUAUUUUAUUUUGA